GUAGGGAAUCUUGCGCAAUGGGCGAAAGCCUGACGCAGCCAUGCCGCGUGAAUGAUGAAGGUCUUAGGAUUGUAAAAUUCUUUCACCGGGGACGAUAAUGACGGUACCCGGAGAAGAAGCCCCGGCUAACUUCGUGCCAGCAGCCGCGGUAAUACGAAGGGGGCUAGCGUUGCUCGGAAUUACUGGGCGUAAAGGGAGCGUAGGCGGAUAGUUUAGUCAGAGGUGAAAGCCCAGGGCUCAACCUUGGAAUUGCCUUUGAUACUGGCUAUCUUGAGUAUGGAAGAGGUAUGGGGAACUCCGAGUGUAGAGGUGAAAUUCGUAGAUAUUCGGAAGAACACCAGUGGCGAAGGCGACAUACUGGUCCAUUACUGACGCUGAGGCUCGAAAGCGUGGGGAGCAAACAGGAUUAGAUACCCGGGUAGUCC
rnacentral:rRNA from 1 species